UCAUAACAGUAAGAAUGUUUGUAGGUAAAG
rnacentral:piRNA from 1 species